rnacentral:rRNA from 1 species
UACGUAGGGUGCGAGCGUUAAUCGGAAUUACUGGGCGCAAAGUGUGCGCAGGCGGCGACGCAAGUCGAGUGUGAAAGCCCCGGGCUUAACUUGGGAAUUGCGCUCGAAACUACGAUGCUGGAGUGUGGCAGAGGAAGGUGGAAUUCCACGUGUAGCGGUGAAAUGCGUAGAGAUGUGGAGGAACACCAAUGGCGAAGGCAGCCUUCUGGGCCAACACUGACGCUCAUGCACGAAAGCGUGGGGAGCAAACAGG